AUGAACGCUGGCGGCGUGCCUAAUACAUGCAAGUCGAGCGAACGGACGAGAAGCUUGCUUCUCUGAUGUUAGCGGCGGACGGGUGAGUAACACGUGGAUAACCUACCUAUAAGACUGGGAUAACUUCGGGAAACCGGAGCUAAUACCGGAUAAUAUUUUGAACCGCAUGGUUCAAAAGUAAAAGACGGUCUUGCUGUCACUUAUAUAUGGAUCCGCGCUGCAUUAGCUAGUUGGUAAGGUAACGGCUUACCAAGGCAACGAUGCAUAGCCGACCUGAGAGGGUGAUCGGCCACACUGGAACUGAGACACGGUCCAGACUCCUACGGGAGGCAGCAGUAGGGAAUCUUCCGCAAUGGGCGAAAGCCUGACGGAGCAACGCCGCGUGAGUGAUGAAGGUCUUCGGAUCGUAAAACUCUGUUAUUAGGGAAGAACAUAUGUGUAAGUAACUGUGCACAUCUUGACGGUACCUAAUCAGAAAGCCACGGCUAACUACGUG
rnacentral:rRNA from 1 species